rfam:Macrostomum lignano uti_cns_0001617, whole genome shotgun sequence.
CUAAAGGUGUUCUUCAACACCACCUUUUUGAACUAUAUAUUGACG